CGGUCUCUUCUUCUGCUUAGGGGUCGACUGGCACUGAGGAGGAAGAGGAGGAGAAGAGCUGAGAGGAGCCACAGAUCCAGGACCGCCUCGAGUCUGUUGCAGGCCAACAUGUGACCCGGCUCCAGCAGAUUCCACUGUGAGGUGUGGCAUCGGCCAAUCAGCCUGGGUGUGGCUGCCAGCACAACCCCUCCCACACACACACACACACACACACACACACACACACACACACACUGGUCUCUCAGUCCCAUUGUGAGGGGACAGAGCCCCCUCUGUGUUACCAAACAAAGGUGAAGGCAGCUCAAUGCCACACCUUCCCCCCCCCCCCCCUUCUUCCCCCACCCAACCCCCCCAACGCAGGCCGGCAACCCACCCACAGCCGAGCUCUGACAUUACACCAAACUACGUUUUAAAAGCAGCUUUUACUUGACUUUCUAUCGCUUUGUGGGUCCCUGGCAUCUUGUAAAUCAUAAUUAAUGAGGUCCAAACCGUGAACACGCUGCCGGUGUAUUUAAGAGCAGAUUAUUUGGGUGUGAGCUAAAACCCUGAAGGUGAGACCCGAUGUGUUGGGCCACCAUUUUGUCACAACAUUAAACAACCACACAGAAGGGAACCCAUCGGACUUCUACACACAGAUGAACAGGACGUGGACCACAAUGCACUGCAACUAAAAGGUUACAAGCAGGAGACGACCUCUGGGGCUGAAGGCCCUGAAAGCUGCAUUCUCUCUACUGACCACCAGGGGGCGACUCCUCUGGUUGUAUAGAAGUACUCCAUGUAUUAAAGCUGCAUUCUCUCUCCUGACCACCAGGGGGCGACUCCUCUGGUUGUAUAGAAGUAUAUACUCCAUUUAUUAAAGCUGCAUUCUCUCUCCUGACCACCAGGGGGCGACUCCUCUGGUUGUAUAGAAGUCUAUAUAAUGACUCUGCUUCUCUCUUGAUGUAUUCCCUCAGUAAAUAUUGUCAACAUGAGUUUAUGUCUCAGUCUCUAGUAUCAAGUCCUCUUCGAUACAGCAUGAUGUCAUCAUUUAUACUUUAUGACGAAGCUGGGUAUGCAUGCUUUAGGGCGGGGCUAGGGUUAGUUGUCUUUGUCCAGUCUGGGAGUGGUCAGGGUUUUUGUCUUACAGCCGUAAUCCUCUCACAGUGUGCUUACACCUCCUGAAAGUUGUUUGUUACAUUUUUAUUAAAUAUGUACUUAGCUCCA